rnacentral:rRNA from 1 species
GGGAAUUUUGCGCAAUGGGCGAAAGCCUGACGCAGCAACGCCGCGUGAGUGAUGAAGGCCUUCGGGUCGUAAAGCUCUGUCAGAGGGGAAGAACCACCUGUCGGUUAAUAUCCGGCAGGCCUGACGGUACCCUCAAAGGAAGCACCGGCUAACUCCGUGCCAGCAGCCGCGGUAAUACGGAGGGUGCAAGCGUUGUUCGGAAUUAUUGGGCGUAAAGAGCUCGUAGGUGGUUCAGUAAGUCGGGUGUGAAACCUCCAGGCUCAACCUGGAGACGCCACCCGAUACUGCUGUGACUAGAGUCCAGUAGGGGAGCGUGGAAUUCCUGGUGUAGCGGUGAAAUGCGCAGAUAUCAGGAGGAACACCAGUGGCGAAGGCGGCGCUCUGGGCUGGAACUGACACUGAGGAGCGAAAGCGUGGGGAGCGA